AUGUACUCGAUGAUGAGGAGAGUAAUGAUGGUUCGUGCUACUAGCGAGUCAGGAUUGGUGGAAGCCUGAUAGAACGUCCAUGAUGAAGCGCACCUCGGAGACGCAGCUUGAAUCUUGUCUAUUGACAAUGUAUAGAGCUUGCCGGGUUUGCCCGUUACAGCUAUCAAGCAGGUUUUUUCCAAUUACGAUCAUUUAUUGGUCUAAUUGAAAAGAACAAGAAGAGUGGUACCGCGGGAGUAUGAUAAAAUAACCUCUCGUCUCUUUA
rnacentral:ncRNA from 1 species